UACAGAGGGGGCAAGCGUUGUUCGGAAUUACUGGGCGUAAAGGGCGCGUAGGCGGCCUGCUAAGUCGAACGUGAAAUCCCCGAGCUCAACUCGGGAACUGCGUCCGAUACUGGCAGGCUUGAAUCCGGGAGAGGGAUGCGGAAUUCCAGGUGUAGCGGUGAAAUGCGUAGAUAUCUGGAGGAACACCGGUGGCGAAGGCGGCAUCCUGGACCGACACUGACGCUGAGGAGCGAAAGCCAGGGGAGCAAACGGG
rnacentral:rRNA from 1 species